rnacentral:rRNA from 1 species
UACGAAGGGUGCAAGCGUUAAUCGGAAUUACUGGGCGUAAAGCGCGCGUAGGCGGUUUCUUAAGUCUGUGGUGAAAGGUUCAGCGCUUAACGUGAACAGUGCCCUGGAUACUGGGAGACUUGAGUUAGGGAGAGGGUAGUGGAAUUCCUGGUGUAGCGGUGAAAUGCGUAGAUAUCAGGAGGAACACCAAUGGCGAAGGCAGCUACCUGGCCUAUAACUGACGCUGAGGUGCGAAAGCGUGGGGAGCAAACGGGAUUAGAUACCC